rnacentral:rRNA from 1 species
UACGUAGGGGGCAAGCGUUGUCCGGAAUUAUUGGGCGUAAAGAGCGUGUAGGCGGUCCGGUAAGUCAGCUGUGAAAGUCAAGGGCUCAACCCUUGAAUGCCGGUUGAUACUGUCGGGCUAGAGUCCGGAAGAGGCGAGUGGAAUUCCCGGUGUAGCGGUGAAAUGCGCAGAUAUCAGGAGGAACACCGGUGGCGAAGGCGGAUCUCUGGGCCUUACCUGACGCUCAGGCACGAAAGCUAGGGGAGCGAACAGG